CAUAAAAAUGAGGCAAGAAGCUUGACCAAACGGCAUCGUUUUGCUAAUUCUGAACCUCUUAUAGGUUCUUUGAUUCUCAAGCUCAUGUUAUCAUCCUAGAUUGUUGAAUUGAAUCACUUUGAAACAGGGAAACCGCGAAGCAGGAUACUGCAAACUGGGAAGAAUCUGAUUUUGUGCACUUAACUUGUAAAUGUCAUCAGCAGAUGGUAGCUAAUCUUUGGCCUACAAAGGAUGCCAAAGACCAUGUGUGCAUUUCCUUGUGUGAAACUCAAUAAUUCAAUAAAGCAUUUGCUAAAGGGUACCAAUAUUUUUAUCUGCUGCAAUUUGAGAAGCAAUUUCAGAAGCACUCUGAUCCAAAGGGUAAUUUAACUCUCCCAAAAGUAGUUUGAUCCGAUGCAGUUGCUCAGAAUGAAAUGCAGCUCUCUGAUUCGCAUGAAGCAACUUCAAGCACAUCUCAUAACAAUCGGAAAAUUUCAAUUCCACCCUUCUCGGUCAAAAGCUCCUCGAGCUCUGCUCCAUCUCCCACGCCGGCGACCUCUCCUUCGCAGGCCAAAUUUUCUAGAGAAUCUAGACCCCUUCCACCAACGACUGGAACGCUGUUCUCCGAGGCCUGGCCCAAAGCCCAGAACCGAUGUAGGCCCUGUCAUGGUACUGCGCCAUGUCACGCAGUCCCCAAAAGGUGGACACUUUGACGUGCUCCUUCGCCCUCAAGGGCUGUGCGCGUGCAUUGGCUUUCUCCGAAGCCACCCAGAUUCAUUCUCAUAUUCCACAUUUGGGGUUCGAAGCUGAUAUAUUUUUAUUGACUGUUGGGGCAAAUUGACAAGUGUACCGAGUCGCACAAGUAAUAUAAAAUUGUAAGACCAAGUUUCGUAUCUUAAAA